AACGAACGCUGGCGGCAUGCCUAACACAUGCAAGUCGAACGAGACCUUCGGGUCUAGUGGCGCACGGGUGCGUAACGCGUGGGAACCUGCCCUUAGGUUCGGAAUAACUCCCCGAAAGGGGUGCUAAUACCGGAUCAUGUCUUCGGACCAAAGAUUUAUCGCCUUUGGAUGGGCCUGCGUUGGAUUAGCUAGUUGGUAGGGUAAAAGCCUACCAAGGCGACGAUACAUAACUGGUCUGAGAGGAUGAUCAGCCACACUGGGACUGAGACACGGCCCAGACUCCUACGGGAGGCAGCAGUGGGGAAUAUUGGACAGUGGGCGAAAGCCUGAUCCAGCAAUGCCGCGUGAGUGAUGAAGGCCUUAGGGUUGUAAAGCUCUUUUACCCGGGAUGAUAAUGACAGUACCGGGAGAAUAAGCUCCGGCUAACUCCGUG
rnacentral:rRNA from 1 species